GAUGAACGCUGGCGGCGUGCCUAAUACAUGCAAGUAGAACGCUGAAGGAAGGAGCUUGCUCUUUCCGGAUGAGUUGCGAACGGGUGAGUAACGCGUAGGUAACCUGCCUGGUAGCGGGGGAUAACUAUUGGAAACGAUAGCUAAUACCGCAUAACAGUAGAUGUUGCAUGAUAUCUACUUAAAAGGUGCAAUUGCACCACUACCAGAUGGACCUGCGUUGUAUUAGCUAGUUGGUGAGGUAACGGCUCACCAAGGCGACGAUACAUAGCCGACCUGAGAGGGUGAUCGGCCACACUGGGACUAAGACACGGCCCAGACUCCUACGGGAGGCAGCAGUAGGGAAUCUUCGUAAAUGGACGGAAGUCUGACCGAGCAACGCCGCGUGAGUGAAGAAGGUUUUCGAAUCGUAAAGCUCUGUUGUAAGAGAAGAACGAGUGUGAGAGUGGAAAGUUCACACUGUGACGGUAUCUUACCAGAAAGGGACGGCUAACUACGUG
rnacentral:rRNA from 1 species